rnacentral:rRNA from 1 species
GAUGAACGCUGGCGGCGUGCUUAACACAUGCAAGUCGAACGAGAAGUGAAGACGGAAACCUUCGGGCGGAAGGCUUUAUUUCGAGUGGCGGACGGGUGAGUAACGCGUGGGUAACCUGCCUCAUACAGGGGGAUAACAGUUGGCAACGACUGUUAAUACCGCAUAAGACCACAGCACCGCAUGGUGCGGGGGUAAAAACUCCGGUGGUCUGAGAUGGACCCGCGUUCGAUUAGCCAGUUGGCGGGGUAACGGCCCACCAAAGCGACGAUCGAUAGCCGAUCUGAGAGGAUGACCGGCCACAUUGGGACUGAGACACGGCCCAAACUCCUACGGGAGGCAGCAGUGGGGAAUAUUGCACAAUGGGGGAAACCCUGAUGCAGCGACGCCGCGUGAGUGAAGAAGUAUUUCGGUAUGUAAAGCUCUAUCAGCAGGGAAGAAAAUGACGGUACCUGAGGAAGAAGCCCCGGCUAACUACGUG